rnacentral:rRNA from 1 species
UACGUAGGGUGCAAGCGUUGUCCGGAAUUAUUGGGCGUAAAGAGCUCGUAGGCGGUUUGUCGCGUCUGCUGUGAAAACCCGAGGCUCAACCUCGGGCCUGCAGUGGGUACGGGCAGACUAGAGUGCGGUAGGGGAGAUUGGAAUUCCUGGUGUAGCGGUGGAAUGCGCAGAUAUCAGGAGGAACACCAAUGGCGAAGGCAGAUCUCUGGGCCGUAACUGACGGCUGAGGAGCGAAAGCAUGGGGAGCGAACAGG